rnacentral:tmRNA from 2 species
GGGGAUGAUCGGCUUUGACAAUAGAAUAUUCUUUAAGAUGCGCAAAGUAGAGCUUCAGUAACUCUAAAAAGGCUGAAAAAAAUAAGUGCAAACUUAUCUUCAAAGCUAGGGGGAAUUAUUUCUCCCUACGCUCCAGCGUACGCAAUAGCCUAAGCUGGCGUCCGUCUGCCUGACUUCCGAUAAGGCCGCGCGGGUGUAAUAGCUCUUCUCGGGAUAUGUCGUUAGGCUGUCUCACUUAACAGACGAAAUACAGAGACUCGGUCUGGCCGGAUUUUGUCUGCUUUAGACCGUCCAUUCCAAGAACCAAAAACAGACUAAACUUUGUAGAAGCGUUUUAGAGAUCUCUAUUUGGACCCGGGUUCGAUUCCCGGCAUCUCCACCA